rnacentral:lncRNA from 1 species
AACAAAGGAUUUUUUAAAAGCAUUUCUGCUUCUUAAAUCAACUCCUGGUUUUCACGAAACCCCAGACCUCUAAGGCUUCUUUCCAGCUAAACACUAAAGACAGCACCUGAGUUUCCCUCCAAAACAGAUAAAAUCCUGAAUAAGGGCUUGAAAGGAAACAGCUAGAAGAAACGAGGUAACCUUCCUUCUGGUUUCUUCCCUUGGCGCGCACAGGCAUGAUGCUACAGCUCUGUACUGUCAACGCUGUCACCAGGCAUCACUUCCUUAUGGUUUACACUCCUCUCUUCCCAUCAUGUCAUUUCUUAGAGCUCUGUAAUCACACAGUCGUGUGCAUCCAUCCCCAGCUGUCAACAGGAUCUUCUGAGUAAAACACAGCUAAAUAAAUCUCUGCAAUGAGGAAGGACCGCAAUCAAAGCUACCUUCCAUUAGAGCUACCUGCCAAAUUUUGGAUGGCAGCACCCCAAGAUGAAAGGAGCUUGGAUCCCCAAGUCAUUAUUUGGAGGAGAGCCUCUGCAAAGAACUGCCUGCUGUGCACUGGACUGUGAGGUAAAAGGAAUGUAAACCUGUGUCUUAUUAAACCAUGGAGCUUUGGGGAUUGUUUGUUAUAGCAACCGGCACUAAUUAUCCUGACUAGUAUAAAAGGCUAAGGAAAUGAAAAUAGAGACUCCACCAGACAGUUUUUCCUCUUAGCUUAAACUGAGCAACUAGUUUUAAAGUGUCAUCACUUCACUGGCAUUAGAAUUUAUCAUCCUUGUGUAAUUGAUUGGCCUCUCAGUUCUUGAUUUGAAGUUGGGUGGUAGAGAGAGGGAGGAGGUGCUAGGUUGAAGUUCAUGUCGUUGAAAUCCUCAUUCAAAGUACCAAAAUUGAGCAGCAGAGGUCAAGAACAUAAAAAUAUUUAUGUGUAAGAAUCAAAACACAACAGUAACAUGCCUAAGUUAUUUUACUUUUCUGGAUUUUAAGACAACUAUUCAUGUCCAGUCCCCAGGGGAUCCCCCUCCUCAUUCCAGUUACUAUUCGUCAUUCAUUCCCAGAGCGCCCAAUUACAAAGUAUGAUGUAUUUAUUUCUCUUAUUGAAAAUAAACAUUAAACAUGAAAAGUUAAUACUGGACCUAAGAGCAUGCUGGGAGUUGAAACGAGCUCUAAAGUCUUGCUGAGGCAAAGAUUCUGACUGUGUCUUAAAGCCCUAAUAUGGUCCUUAGCAAGCAACAAAAAUGAACCUGCUCCCAAAAGCAUUGACCUGGAAGUGUGUCUUUGUUGCUUAAGUUAUGAUUACAACUUCCCAAGCUGGUUUUAUUAAUGAGCUCUAAAUGGAAGUGUUUAUCUCAGGAGGAAGUACUGUUUCUCCCUCUUGUCCCUGGUGACACGCUAAACAUACUAAUUGAUAUGAAGCUGAUUUUUAGGAGACAGGAAAGCCCUGAGGCCUUUGUCACAUUGACAAUCAUGGCUAGACUCAUUACAGGGCCUAUCAAAUCAGGGCGGGAAACAGGCUACUCACACUUUGCGGCAUCCCUGGAGUGUGGGCUUUGCUGUGCUUUGUCAUUCAACAUAUGCUUGAGAAAGUGCUUCCCUCUUUUACUUGGCCAU